GACGAACGCUGGCGGCGUGCCUAAUACAUGCAAGUCGAACGCUGAAGGAGGAGCUUGCUCUUCUGGAUGAGUUGCGAACGGGUGAGUAACGCGUAGGUAACCUGCCUGGUAGCGGGGGAUAACUAUUGGAAACGAUAGCUAAUACCGCAUAACAGUAGAUGUUGCAUGACAUUUACUUAAAAGGUGCAAUUGCAUCACUACCAGAUGGACCUGCGUUGUAUUAGCUAGUUGGUGGGGUAACGGCUCACCAAGGCGACGAUACAUAGCCGACCUGAGAGGGUGAUCGGCCACACUGGGACUGAGACACGGUCCAGACUCCUACGGGAGGCAGCAGUAGGGAAUCUUCGGCAAUGGACGGAAGUCUGACCGAGCAACGCCGCGUGAGUGAAGAAGGUUUUCGGAUCGUAAAGCUCUGUUGUAAGAGAAGAACGAGUGUGAGAGUGGAAAGUUCACACUGUGACGGUAUCUGACCAGAAAGGGACGGCUAACUACGUG
rnacentral:rRNA from 1 species